rnacentral:sRNA from 1 species
GAUUAGCCCCGAUUGCAGCGGAAAUCCUUUUUUCUCGUUUUUUUAACGAUAAAAAAAUUGAAGCGAAAAGCGGGAAUUGCG